rnacentral:rRNA from 1 species
CCCUUAGAUGUUCUGGGCCGCACGCGCGCUACACUGAUCGAUUCAACGAGUUUUGAAAUAAUUUUUAUAAUUUUUCAUAUCCUUUGUCGGAAGGCAUGGGUAAUCUUUUAAAUGUCGAUCGUGAUGGGGCUAGAUUCUUGCAAUUAUUAAUCUCCAACGAGGAAUUCCUAGUAAACGCAAGUCAUCAGCUUGCAUUGAUUACGUCCCUGCCCUUUGUACACACCGCCCGUCGCACCUACCGAUUGAAUGGUCCGGUGAAAUCUUCGGAUUGAGACUUUGUUUUCUUCACGGAAAACGCUGUUUUAAAAAGUUGAUUAAACCUUACCAUUUAGAGGAAGGUGAAGUCGUAACA